ensembl:lncRNA novel transcript
GCGACUAGAGGGGACGCGUCUGUUUUGGGCUUGGAGCACGGGCAAGCGGCCCACCGGCAGGGGGCGCCCGGAGGAGGCCGAAAAGCUGGACGGGGCGAAAACGUUUUGAGCUGGGAGAACGCCCCGCCGGUUUCCAAGGAUGCAACUAUGAAGAGACACAGUGGGGGCUACGAUUGGGUCGUGACUGUGGCCCACGCCAGGCGAGCGUCCCCGCCCCAGCCCCUCUGCCAUCUGCGUGCCUGUUCUCCCGCUACCUGCCCCCGCGCCAGGAUCCAGGCUUGCAAACGUCCCCAUGCCAUGCGCAGGCACAUCUCGGGCGGCCAGCCAGGCACACGCUGCGGGGUGUCAUUAGCUGCAGUGCCGCCUAAACGCGGCGGCCCGUGCAGAACCACGGCCAGGCCACCUGCACGGGCCAGGGAGGUGAUGGGGACAGCGAGAGACAUGCCAAACCCCACUGGGGGGUUGGGAGGGGAGGCGCUUUCAUCCUAAGGUGACUUCCGUUUUUUUUUCUAAUAAAAAAAUAUUUUAAACAUGGGGAUAAAUAGAGAAAAAGACAAAAUAGACCCCAUCAUAGCAAUGCCAAAGAUGAGACAGAUUUAUUUAUUCCAUAAAUAUCUACUGAGAGGA